ensembl:antisense Nespas neuroendocrine secretory protein antisense
UUAGUGACGCCGGAUGGGGAUGGGCCCCUUUCUGGGAGGGGACUCCGGGGACUGGUCGCGACGGCGGGCUGGCCUCCUGGUCUUGCAGCGGCGGGGCUGCCUGUUUUCCUCCUUGCGCUCCUCUGGCUCCUCCUCGGGGUCCCGAGGAUCCUGAUCUAAGGGCCCUCGCUGGGGCUCCUCCCCCUCGCUUGCGCUCUCAGGCUCCUGAGUGGUGGGCUGCGCACGUCUCGGGGAGGCGUCGGCGCUCUGCAACUUCAGAGCGUGCAGACGCUGAGUGAGUGACUGGUUGAAGGUGGCACCCCGGGGGCCGCGCUCGUCCUCUGGCUCGGUCUCUGGCUCGGUUUCUGGCUCGGUCUCUGGCUCGGUCUCGAUUUCGGUCUCGGAUUCGAUAUCGGACUCAGGCUCGGUCUCAGAAUCGGUCUCGGUCUCGUAGUCGUCCUGAUCGUACUCUAGGCACUCGGGGCGGGCCAGCUCAGGCUCAACCUCCUCGUGCUCGUGAUCAGACUCAGAUUCAGAGGACUCAGGGAGUACCUGUGCGGCAGCUGCAGCGGCAGCGGAGCGGUGGUGGGCGUUAAGGAAGCUCCGGCGCUGGGCAGCACGCUGCUGGGCGCGGGCGUUGGAAGAGGCUAGGGCGCGGAGGAGAGCAAUGGAGCAGGAGAGCCAGAGGAGAGCGGUGGCAGCCCGGCGGCCUAUGGGCGGGCACAGGUCGUUGUAAUUAUGGCGAGCUCGGCGCCACUGCUGAGCCCGGGACCUGCGAUCCAUUCUCUUAGGUGCUCACCGAGAAGCCGACUCACCCUCUGGCUCUGCAGAGAGUGGCCCCACUGCGCAAGGACUGUUGGGGCCGAAAAGGAUUAACCUUAUGAGGAGAGAAGCUGGGGUCUGAAGACCCCAAUCUCGCCUCGGGGCAAAAAGAAGGGAUGUACCUACCUUCAAACCACUGCGAACUUUCUAAAGCUCCGCGCCUCAGCUUGUGGCUGUAAGUAAAAGAAAGGGAUGGGUAAAGAAGAGAGAAGGAGUCUCCUCGAGGCUCCUCUCGCUAAGUCUCAGACUCUGAAGUCUAAGACUCCGAGAGGUGCCUCCACU